CUUAUCUGAAGCUUCAUUAUAAACUGUCAUGUAAACUAGAUAAGAUAACAACAGACUUUGUCACAGCGCUUUUAGGUGCAUGCCCUUUAAUUUAUUAUUUUUUUUUUAAAGAGGAAAUUAAUAGAGUAUGCUGGACAAUUUCUUUCACAUUGUUUUUUUUUCUACUCUUAUAAUGUUCCUACUUUUUUUUAUUCUAAUGGUUGGAUGAAAGCUGGCCAGCUUCUGCCUCCCAUCUAUGAGAAUUCCAAGUCAAGAAUCUCCAUGGGUCUUUACAUUAAGACAACUCCCUCAAACUCUUUACAUACUUGCAUUUUCCAGAACCCCGGGCAAAUGCUGUCUCAUGGAGAAGCCUCACAGAGUUAAAGGUGUCAGUGGUAAAUUAGUGACUGCGGCAUCAAGCCAAGGAGUUUCAGAGUCAGAACAAAAGAAUUUGCUCAAAGAACCAGCACAUUUUUCAUUCUGAUGGUUGGAUGAAAGCCGGCCAGCUUCUGCCUGCCAUCUCUGAGACUUCCAAGUCAAGGUUCUCCAUGGGUCUCUAUAUUACAACAACUCCUUACUCCAUACUCUUCAGGUACUUGCAUUCUCCAGAGCAUCAGGCAAAUGGAGUUUCAUGGGGAAGCCUCACAGAGUUCAAGAAUCAAACUUCCUUCAUCAUGAAGUGUGAAUGGUUAGACCAAGUCUUCCUGCAGUCUAUCUCCAAAAGAGCAUGGGAGUGUGCCACACCAUUUUUGACUUCCCAGUUACCCACAAGCACAAGAUUAAGGGAGUGUGCUGAUUUAUGUGCAGAUUUUC
ensembl:lncRNA